rnacentral:rRNA from 1 species
CCCUUAGACGUUCUGGGCCGCACGCGCGCUACACUGACCAGUGCAACAAGCAUCCGUCCUUGGCCGACAGGCCCGGGCAAUCUUUGAACGCUGGUCGUGAUGGGGAUAGACUUUUGCAAUUUUUGGUCUUCAACGAGGAAUUCGUAGUAAACGCAAGUCAUCAACUUGCAUUGAUUACGUCCCUGCCCUUUGUACACACCGCCCGUCGCACCUACCGAUUGAAUGGUCCGGUGAAGCCUCCGGAUUGGCGCGCACCUCGGUGCCGCCGAGAAGUUGGCUAAACCUUACCAUUUAGAGGAAGGUGAAGUCGUAACA